AACCCAUUUCUCCAGGAAAAAUAUUCUCUCUCUCUAAGUGCUCCAACUUCUCUCUAAAAAGAGUUUUCGGAUAACGAUUCCUGUUCGGUGCCGGUGGCUUUUGCCGCCGGUUACCAUUUUCUUUUUUUGUUUUCCUUUUUUGUUUUUUGAUGUAAAUACUUCGAUCUGUAUGAUCGAUCCUUCCCUUCGCUCGGCGAAUCUCUCCUUCGCGUUGGCAACUUUUGUUGUGACAUUUUCAGUCUGAAGCGGAGCAAAACUUCAUGGUUUUUCUCUUGUACUCCGAUGAAGACUGAGUUUGAAUAAAGUUCUGGUCUUGUAGAUCGGAUUCAACUUUGUUCUCUCUUCGCGAGUUCAUACAAAAUCCCGAUUGUUGGUAUUUGGUUUAUCUUCUUUAAAGAUUAAGCUCAGAACCUUUCUUCAAGAAAUCAGUCUUAACCCGUUAUAGUUUGCCGAUGAAGGCCAAAGGGUUGGGCUUUCUAAUUGGAAAGGGGAUGAAGAUGAUGGACUAAACUCAGUUGCUUCAAAGGAGGUUCAGUAGAGUUUGGCGUUCUAAUGUGAGCGGUCCAACAAAGGAUCUACUUUGGGUUUUGAUUGAGAAGUCCCCGUGUUAUGAACCGGAGAUGUAAGAUUUACAAAGCAUCAACAUCGGCGGAAGGCGUAAGGGAGACUAGUAGUGAGUGCAAAUCAAAGAAGAUGAAAGUGUUGCAAGAACGUUGAAGAGUAUGUCGGCGUUUUCAGCCUGAAACUUGACUGGCGGUGGAGCAAAAGCUUCUCCGAUAUGCAUGCUUCUUCUUUAACACGUGGAUUGUGCUUAAGUUUUUGUAUGACACGUGUUUUCCUUGUGUCCAUGUGUUUGUAAACUUUAUUUGUACUCCUACUUCUGAUAAGCUUUAAUGAAAAGCUAAGUCGACAAAAAAAAAAGAACAAUAAGCGGUAAGAGACGAUACUUUUUGCGGGUACUCCAAAUGCAA
rnacentral:lncRNA from 1 species